rnacentral:rRNA from 1 species
CGGGUGAGUAAUACAUAAGUAACCUGCCCUAGACAGGGGGAUAACUAUUGGAAACGAUAGCUAAGACCGCAUAGGUACGGACACUGCAUGGUGACCGUAUUAAAAGUGCCUCAAAGCACUGGUAAAGGAUGGACUUAUGGCGCAUUAGCUGGUUGGCGGGGUAACGGCCCACCAAGGCGACGAUGCGUAGCCGACCUGAGAGGGUGACCGGCCACACUGGGACUGAGACACGGCCCAG